rnacentral:lncRNA from 1 species
GGGUUCAUCGUUUCGGUUACAAGCAGCACAACCACAUAACUUCUCGAUUACUUCUAAUAUUUAAAUCCCCCUGAAUUUAAUUUUUAUUAUUAUCAAUUCUUCUUCGUCAUCAUCAUCAUCAUUCACUGCCUCCUUCUCCCAUCACCAGCAAAACACUGCUCCUCUUAUUGAUCAUCAUUCAUCAACAUCAAUCUCCCCCAUCCAUCCCAUCUCCCAUCUCUCUCUUCCUCCAUUUCCCCAACACAAUUCUCGUCGGAAUACACAAACCCAUUCAAAUGUUCGAGAUAUGGAAGUAGCACCUGCCUCAACUCCCCCGAAUUAGAGCUAGCCAACUAGGGUUUAUCAUCAAACUUGUAAGUGGGGUUCAUCGUUUCGUUUACAACCACAUAACUUGAAAGAUUACUUCUCAAAUAUUUAAAUCCCUUCAAAUAAUAAUUUUUAUUGUUAUCAAUUCAUCGUCAUCAUCAUCAUCAUUCACUCACUGCCUCCUCCUCCUACCACCAGCAAAACACUGCUCCUCUUAUUGAUCAUCAUCAUCAUCAUUCAUCAACAACAUCAAUCUCCUCCAUCCAUCCCAUCAUCCCAUCUCUCUCUUCAACUCUCUUCCUCCAUUUCCCCAACACAAUUCUCAUCGGAAAGCAUACACCCAAUUCAAAUGUUCGAGAUAUGGAAGUAGCACCAGCCUCUACUCCCCCGCCGCCGCCAGCUACGACCACCACCCUCGC